UGUUCACUUCAGAAGAACAUAACUGAUCUCAAAGCCAAAUCAGAGAAGCUAUAUGUGUGUAAACUGCCUGGGGGGCCAUGCAAGAAGGGAUAGAGAGUAGGAGAUGCAGCCAAGGAUGACUUGCCGGCGGCGGUUGACGUUUGCCGGCAUAUGUAUGUACAUACAGACAGACAGACAUCAUGCGUGAUUAUUUGCCGUUCUUGCCGGCAAGUCUGUCCUUGGCUACACCUUGCUCUCUGCCUGUCAUGUGUUGCCCCUACUUUGCUUGAGUGUAGGCAAUGGUCGAGACAACCACUUGUGUCAAAUCCAUUGCUCUCUCAGAGCAAGAGGAAGCAGAAUGGUAAGCGGUACAUAUAGGUUCCAUCCCCUUGCUGCGUGAAAUCAAUCAUUUUCUCGUGACAAGGUAAACCAGCAACAUUUUUUUUGGUCAUACUCAUUUUUUUACCGCUUAGUUGAUAUAUAGAAGCUUUUUUUCCAUCACAAUAAAUAUUCAAAUAAUAUAAACAUGACAUGUACUUAAAUGUACUUAUAUUAUAUUAUGUAUUGGCCCCCCGAAUAAUCAUUGAGGUAUUCAAUUCAAUCUGUAUUUGCUCAUAGUUGUGGCUCAUAGCAUAUGCGUUUAUACUCAUCAAGUGUGGUGGUAUAUAUCUACGUGUGUGGCUAUAUGGGAACCUACAAAGAAUGUUAGAAUAAGUAGGGUACUGGGAGGAGGUGUCAGCUUGGUAGUGGUGGGGGCGAAAGAACUAGCAUUACUUCUAGCGCGAGAGUAGUUCCUUUCCUUCUCGUACGGCUCGCCGCUCAGCUCGCCGUUUUUCUUUUUCUUUUUUGUUUUUUCCUAUAAACUCCUACUCUAUCAAUGAAAUAUGCACACCGUUCGUUCAAUAAAAAAAGUGAUAUCCAUCUAGGGUACAGGAUAACUGGAUAAGUGAUAUGAUAUUUGAGCGAAUCUGCCACCCCUACUCUUGGGGGGAAAUUGACCUGUGUAAAAUUCCGUUUUGGGCCUGAUGAAGACAGGCAUUGUGAUAUUUGCCCGAGUAGACUAUACGGUAACCACACAACGAGAGAUCCGGGUACCGUUGAAGCAUGCGAUAUGAUGCUUUCCAAUAGCUACAAUUUGGCCCACAAAUCUUGCACAAAAGGGUGGAAAUCCAGAUAGAAAGCCCCAUUGCAUUGCACUAGCUAGUCAGUGGACUGGUCCUUCUUUUCCCUAUCAAAGGAAAAAAGUUUGUUCCAUCCAAUCAUAUAAAAAAUGGUAGCAAUAAUAUAUAUACAGGCUCAGGUCAAAAGGCUGGCCCACCUUCACCCUGUAUAUUAUUCCAUUCCUAGUUAGUUGUUCCUAUAAAUGUACCCCAAGGGUCGAUGGAGCUGUUGUAACCUCAGGGCUGGAGAAGAGAUAGCAUAUAACUGCUUGGGGGGCCAUGCAAGAAGAGGCAGAGAGCAGGAGAUACAGCCAAGGAUGACUUGCCGGUGGCCACUGAUCUGAUAACCUCUCCGAUCACUGGCAUGGUCGUUAUUGCCAUCCCAACCGGCAAGUCUGUCCUUGGCUACACCUUGCUCUCUGCCCAUCAUGUGUUGCCCUUGCUUGGUUUGAGAGUAGAUGGUGUCGUGGGCUGCCUCUCUGCUACCCUCUGGAGGAACGGUGAGGAAUAUAAUGCAUAUAUAUGCAACUGCUUUUCUGAGGAGUUUCUAUAACCUACAUCCAUCACCAGAUUCGUAAGGCUGCAAAUUUCUCCCUCAGAGCAAGAGGACGAAGAAUGCAUCAAGCCUUGCAGUUGAACAGGUGCAUGUGCAGCCCAUGAGUUAAGGAAGCGAAGGACCAUACGAUUCCGACUCCCCAGCUCCUGAACCUGUCGUUGCACCGGCCUUCUUUUCCUAGCUCCACUAGAUGUUCUCCGUGCACUUGGCACCACCAUGCUUGCCUUCUCAAACUUGGUAUAUUCAGUGCCAUGUUUAGACUUCCACAGCAUUUGGGCAGACUGUCGCUUUGGUGUUUCUGCAGAAGUUAUCUAUUGCCUUUGCCAGCAUGGUUUCAUUCAGCUGUUUCAAGGUAAUGUCAGUAUGCAAACAAUUUUGCUCCUGACCGUCGAUAGCUAGAAUUCUUAUCUGCCGGCAGCAUGCCUUUUGAUGAGCCAUGCGGCGUGAAGGCAAGCCCAACAUUCAGAUGUCGAGAACCUUGUAGAAAAUUUUCGUAUUCAGACAGUGCGGUCCACUGUUUAAUUUGUUGUACUCGGAAAAUGGCACUGGCACUGCAAAAUUUACUUCGUAUGUUUGGUUAUAAGGUGCUAAACUUUAGCAGGUCA